UACCAGCACCCCGAGUGUUCGGGGCGUUUAUUGGGCCUAAAGCAUCCGUAGCCGGUUCUACAAGUCUUCCGUUAAAUCCAACUGCUUAACAGGUGGGCUGCGGAAGAUACUAUAGAGCUAGGAGGCGGGAGAGGCAAGCGGUACUCGAUGGGUAGGGGUAAAAUCCGUUGAUCCAUUGAAGACCACCAGUGGCGAAGGCGGCUUGCCAGAACGCGCUCGACGGUGAGGGAUGAAAGCUGGGGGAGCAAACCGG
rnacentral:rRNA from 1 species